GGUGGUUGCAUUUACGUGACGUUUUUCUGCUCGAAGCUUUUGUAAACUGCUUUGAAUGAUCUGCAUCUGUGAAUUUGAUAAAUGCUGAAUUUAAACGAAUUACAACAAUGUCCCUACAAUCCAGAUUUUUGUCUCAGUUAGAUAUGCUGUCUGACAAAUUUCUAAGAGUAUUUAAAAAGCGAGGAGGGCAAAUGGGAGGAAGACUGCAGACCAUCAUGGAACCCAUGGCUCAAGACGAUGAUGUCGAUAUUGGACGAGAAUGUAUUAUCAAGGGGCUCUGCGUAUACCUCAACGAGGAUCCAGACAAUUUAGUGAAAGAG